rnacentral:sRNA from 1 species
UUGAGACGGAGUCUCACUGUGUAGCUGCUGUUUUGGAACUCACUAUGGAGACAUGUAGAGUAGACCAGGCCAUCCUGGAAACUCACAGAUAUCCUCCUGCUCCGGUGGGCUGAGAUUUUUAUGCCCAGUCCAGCGUAGAAUUUCUUUUAGUUUUCCCUAACUAAAUGGGGGAUGGGUCCUCUAAGAUAGCCAAUCACUGACAACAGCGUCCCAGCUCCAGAGAAUGCAAGCAAGGUUGGUGGGGUCCAGGGUCCACCAACUAUCCCUAUCUUCCCUUCCCCACCUCCCGUGAGCCCCAAAGGGCAAGUAGCAGGGUCUUCGGAGAGAGGUCUGGUUUGCUUAGGUACUGCCUGUCCCCAUGAAGACCAGAAUACAAAGGGCAAGUUAUGCAAAGGUCCAGGGUCAGGCUCCACCCUGCUCACUGUAUGACAGAGAUCCUCAGCCCUGAAGCCUGGUUAUAAAGCAGGUUCCCCAGCUCCGGGACUUCUGGGCGAAUGGGCAGACCCUCAACCAUUGCCUUUACCGGUGCUUUCUGAAACCAAGUCGAGAAGUCUGGAGCCUUGCAGGACCGGGAGGAGGAGGAGCUCUGAGGAAGAAGAGAAACUCAGAGGAGGAUCCACUCAGAGGUGGAGGGGGAGCUGUGAGGAGCAGCAACUCUGAAGAGAAUGGCAAAUUCGAGGAGAGACCAUAGAGGCCGGAAGACAACAGGACAACACAUGCAAAUCCUGAAGAACAUCGUCCACAUUGCCUUCGUUAAGAAAAAAGUAUCCUUCAGGAAGUAGAAAGCAGGUCAUUCCCAGAUAAAAGUUGAAGGUAAUUGUCAGUGGACUUGGCAUACAAGGGGCAGUGGAGGGAGCUCUCCAUGCUGAAAUGAAGUGAUACUAGCCAGUUAACUCACAGCGACAGAAGAAAAAAAGCACAGGGCACAGUAAGAACACAGUAAAAGUGCUAGUGUAUAAAACAUAGAAAUAGCCUGUGGCAAUGAAAGUACAGUGGGGGAGGGGGGAGAGAUGAGAAGCACCAGAUCUGUAUACUACAGAAGGUAACUUGUUAUUCAGAUAAGGUUUUUGUAAGUUUAAGGUGUUGGUUUAUGCCUGGAAGCUUCCUCUCCAGCUAUCCUGGAAUAUGUAGUGUGGCAGAAACAGCAAGGGAGGCUUUGCCUCAGCAAGGAGGAAGAGGGGAACUGAAUCCCGGAUGUUAUCCUUUGACCUCUCUAUAUGCACUCUGUGGCACUCCCCCAACCCCGUGUACACACCCUAAUAAUGAGUUUUAAAAGAUGUUGACUUGAUCCCCAAAGUAAAUAAUGGGAAUCAAAUAAAAGGUACAGAGAUGAAAGGAGGGUCAAAGAGGAACGCUAAGCUGCCAACAACAUGAGGAAGGCAAGGGCAGGGGAAGGGAAGAGGAAAGGAAUGCAGAAAUAAAUGGAAGAGGUGGUGUAUCGCUGUGACACAAACAUUUGGAUCAAUAGUGACUCUGGGGAGGGACAGUGAUGGCAGAAGCUGAAGCAGAAACUGUAGGGAUUGUAGUGGUUUUUUGUUUGUUUGUUUUUGUUUUUGCAGAUGUUGCUUUUUGCUUCCUAUUUUUUCCUUUAUAUUCUUAUCGAUACUUUAUUUAUGGGUCCUUCUUUUAUCUGUCUCCUCACAAUAUUUUCUCUGGCUCAGCUCAGCUUCUUCUAUCUCAACUGUCGCCAACUGUCUUCUCAGUCUGCUAGCCUAUUCACUUUCAAGUGUCCCUUAUUUUCACUCUUCUCCUCUCUAACCUUAUUCAGUCUUCUUUCUUCCUGCAUCAACUGUCUUCUGACUCUACUCUUCUGUCUCCUGGGCCUUACUUCUAUCUACUACUGAGUCCUAAUACUCUCAUUUUCUCUCCUACAACUACUCUCUCCAGCUCUGUACUCUCUGCUCCACUGCUCUUGGAAUCAAGCCUCCCAUUCUGCCUAGCCACAAUGAUGGCCACAUGUCUUUCAGUGUUUUGUUUUUAUUUUCUCCUUCAAUCAGCUUGCCACAUUAGGUGCCAAAUGUAGCUUUUUGUAAAAGCUUUUUUUUGUUGUUGUUCUUUAAUUCUUUCUCUUUUCUUUUUAACAGCUACUUUGUAUGCUGAGAAGAUCCGUUCUAAAAUACCAUCUUCACUUUGCAAAUGAGCCAACUAGGAAAAUGAGUAGAAGGCAAAAAUAACUAAAACAUGGUCCAGUUUGGGAUCUAUACAAUCCAAAUAUGAUCCCUGUAGUCUCUUUUUCUACUAAAGUUAACACUUUCUCUGCUUCCUUUGUUAGCUGUCAUGGACUGAGUCUGAAUCUCCUUGUAAUGUUUGAAACAAAUUACUUAACUUAUGAGUAGUUAAUCCAGUGGGGGUGCUGUAUCUAAUUAACAUCUCCCAUUGAUUUUUGAAAAUCAUUAAGAGUUUGCAGCUGAUCUCUUCUGAUCUGUACCUUCUGUGGUUGACUUUUUUUGUUGACUUAUUUCAUAACCUAGAUAGUGGAUGGAAUCUCAUCUCUGUUUUUUGAUUUUUACAGGAAGAAGCAAUCUGCAAACUCCAAAAAGGUAAAAUUCUUUUGUUUCACUAAACAUUUUCUCUAAAGUAUCUGCACAUAUGUCAGCCAACAAAAUAUCAUCCAUGUCAUGGUAAUUAACGGAUUGAGGAAAUUGCCUAUGAAUUAUCUCUAUCUGUUGUUGCACAAAAAAAAUUGGCAUAGGAGCUGGAUUAUUUAACAUCCUUGUGGAGGAAGUUUCCACUGAUAUCUUUUUACAGGUUGUAUAUUAUAUAUGUAGGCAAAGUGAAGACAAAUUUUUCAUUAUGCUGCUCUUGUAAUGUGAGAGUAAAACAGCAGUCUUAAACCAAUUAUUAUCAUAAGCCAUGCCUUAGGUGGUGAAGAAGGCAAAGGAAUUCCAGGCUGUAAUGGACCCAUUGGUUGGAUUACUCUGCUCACCACUGUCAAAUCUGUUAAUAUUUUCCAUUCCCCGAUUUCUUCUUUUAUAGCAAAUAUGGGGGGAAUUCCAUGGGCUGGUAGACUCUUCUGUAUGCUGAACCUCCAGCUCUUCUUGUACCAACUGCUCAAGUGCCUGUAAUUUUUUUUCUUUAGUUAAGGGCCACUGCUCUAUACACACAGGCUUCUUAGUCAACCAUUUUAAAGGUAGGUUGUUGGUAUGAUUUGAGCAGUCCCCCAUAUAAAUUUGGAAACUCAAUCCCUGUUCUACCCUGAUUUUGGACAACCUGCACAGUCUGGGAUUGUUCUGGCUCACAUUUUUUCAAUACUUUCCACCGAAGCAGCUCACUCUUUACUUUAGAAUUGUCUCUGGUGUUGAGGGAAUAUUAACCUGAGCUCCCCACUGCUGUAAUAAAUAUUGUCCCCAUAAAUUUAUGGGCAUGUCAGCCACUAAAGGCCUUAACUUUCCUAUUGGCCUUCUGGUCUCACACAUUUAUUCCAUCACACACUUGGCUUUAUCUGAGAUAUUUCCAAUCCUGAGAAUCUGGGUAUAAACCUUUUGAAGUAGCCAUUCUGAAUUCCAAGAUUAGUAAUUUUUUUAUGUGAAAUUAUAGUUGCAUUAUCACCUGUAUCCAUCAAACCUUCUAUUCCAAUGUCAAUCACUUGUAACCUUAAUUUUGGCCUCUGAUCACUAACAACUGUUUCCCAGAACACAUGCUUUCCAGUGUUUCCAAACCCUCCUGGUCUUUCCACUGGGGCAUCUUUGCCUUUGAUAUAGGGAAACAAAUAAUAACAGUAAAUAGUAACAGCUGAGCAAUUCUAUCACCUGUGUUAAAUUCCAUCUCUCUCUUUAACCUAAGCCAGUAUUUUAAUUUCUCUUUUGAAAUCUUCAUUAUAAUUCUUGGAUGCACAAUAAACCCUUGGGAAGUCAAACUGCUCCUUCCCAAGACCAUUCCUACUAUCUUUUGAGGGCAAAGGACCAUACACACAGUAGAUAUUUUAUAACACAGGACUUUUGGGGAUAGUGUAAGAUGUUAAUCUAUGGCCAAGUCUAGAGAGGCAUUGCCUUUAGUAGCAUGAAUUAGAUCUGCAAUACUUAGUUGAGUAUUUUUCUUCUUAUUUGUUAUUUCAGGGAAAUGGUUCAUACUUUUGCUGUGGGGCCUCAAGCUAGCAACCCCUUAUCAUUUCCUAAUGGUGAGCAAUUGCCUUGUAUAUCUGUCUUGGGCCUAUGUUCAUUGCCACAUCAUCUGCAUACUCCUAUAAGUCUGGACCUUCUUUUCGAUUUAUAUUUUGAAAACCAUUGCUCUUAGAGAUGCCUUGCUCACAAUUUGGUUUCACAUGUCCAUAUUUCCCACAAUUAAAGCACUAGGCCUUUUGAUAUCAGAGAUCUCUAGCUAUUCCUUGACCUAUAUUAGCAUGUCAUAAGUUAGAACCAGUAUCAUUUAUAUUCUUUAUCCAUUCAUCUAUGGGCACUGCCCAUGCCUUCAGUUGUCUUAUGGCUUUUUACACUCUGCAAUUGCAUUUUCAAAUGCUAGGGUCUCUAUCAAUACCUGUCUUUCAUCAGGGUCUGCGACAGUCUUAUUUACUACUGAGAUCCAUCUUUGUGAAAAAAAAUCAGUAAAGGCUUCUCUGGAGCCUUGUAUAAUUUUGGUAAAUGGUGUGGAUUUCAACUUUGUCCCAAGCUCUUAAAGCUGCUAAAUGACCUUGUUCUACGAUUGCAUCUUCAAAGUGGACCUGUUCUUGUAUAUCAGCAUAAUAACUUUCACCUAUCAACUGUUCUCUCACUAUAUUAAUUCCCCCUUGCUCUAUUGUGCUGUUCCAAACUCCUGGCUUCUUCUCCUUGUCAUGGCAACCAUUACAAUUGAGGACUAGCCUCUAGUAUAGCUGUUAUCAAUUCCCUCCAGUAUUGGGGAUUAAUUCUAUUUUGAGUAGCACAAUUAUUUAGAGAAUGUUUCACAUAUGGUGAGUGCAUCCUGUAAGACAUCAUUGCCUCUUUAACUGCUUUAGGUCCUUCAUUUCUUUAGGACUCCAUACUAUUUCAUUGUAACCAUGUGGAUUAUCCUUGCUAGCAGGCAUAUGCUGUAUAAUAAGUGCUGGGAACACUGUUGGUUAUUUUUUGACUAAGGACAGCCUGCCCUCCCAAAGGUGCUGUAGGUUUAACCCUGUUUCCUGAAAAAAGCUGUCUCAUCUGACCAUUCUUCUGCUUUUUCAAUUCUUUGACUAGGCUGCCCUUUGACACAGUUCCUUCCCCUCUUUCUACCUGGGGAAAACUCUUCAGAUUCAGUCUCAGGGGAUGGACCUAUUUCUUCUUUUUCUUGAUGUUCUUCCUUUCUUUGCCCAAGCUUCUCUAUUUCCACCUCUAUUUCUUCCCAUUUACUCAGACAAUCUUUUCUCUAAUUCUUCCUGCAUUUCUUUCUGUUGCUUAGACAGUAUUUUAUAAACAAAAUAGCCAAAAAUGAGAAAAGAGAGAGGGGAGGGGGAGAAACAAGCCUGCUGCUAAAAACCAUGUAGGUGAUGUCCAACAGCAGCUUCAACAAACUCCCUAUCGGCUUUUAGGAACAAAGUAUCCAUCCCUUCUUUUCCUGUCUUUUGCUCUACCCACACAGGCUUGUUAGUCAACCAUUUGAAAGGUAGGGUGAGGUGAAGGAAAACAGCACGGAAAAGCAAACACACACACCCAAAAGCCACAUACUAAAGACUGGGGAUGUGGCUCAGAGGUAGAGCAUCUCACCAGGAUGCAACUGAGCCCAGUUCAAACAUUAGCAUAACAAAAAUUGAAAUAAAAAAUUAAAGUUAGAGGAAAACUAGAUGUAGACUAGAUGCGAGAGAGGGAGGGAGCUUUCUGGUCAACACCUGUACCAAUGGAGGGUGACUAAUGCCAAGUUGAGAUGGAGCUCACAGAAAAGCACUUUAGUGUGCUUAAGCCAGGUUCAAAGAUGUCACCUCUGUUUAUUAAAAUUUCUGUUCCACUUGGCUAAGAGCCUAUCUUCACUAGUCACUGAGGGCUGUGGGUCUUUGACCACUGGAUGGUCAGAGGAGCCAAGGUGAAGCUGUAUGAUAUGUUCACACAGGAGCACAGGUAAGGCAGACAAAGACACCAGACAUGGAUUUCUGGUCCCUAUGAGCAAAUGUAUAAGUGAAUUCCCCUAAAUAAACACAAACAGAUAUGGACACAAAACACGCAAACACACAUGACCAUACACACACACACACACACACACACACACACACACACACACACACACACACAGAAGUUUAAGGAUGCCAAGGAGAUAAUUAUAAACCCAUGACCACAGGAGCAUCAUUCAUAUUGGUUGAAAGAGGAAACACAAGAAUCCACUGACAGAUGAGUGGAUUAAAAAAAGAAGAAGAAAAGAAAAAGAGAAAAUAAAAUAUGACCUUCAUGCUGUGACCCCAGAAAUAAAUCAUAAUAAAAAGGUUUUUUUUAAAAAAAAUUUAUUAGAGUUUAAUUUGUGUGUGUGUGUGUGUGUGUGUGUGUGUGUGUGUGCACUCACUACACUUGUAUGGGUGCCUAGUGCCCCCUGAGACCAGAAAAGGAUAUUGGGUCCCCUAAAGGUAGAGUUGCAUUUGCCUGAGUCCCAGUGUAGAUAUAGGAGAUGGAACUUGGGUCCUCUGGUAGAGCAGUAAAAGUGUUUAACCUCUGAGCCAUCUCCCCAGCCUCUAUAGGCUUUAAAAGUAUGCACACAGCAUGAUAUUUAUUUUAUAAAUCAGGGGCAGCAAGAGAUUAACAGGAAUAACGAACGAGAGUUGUAAGAAACAGAAUACGUCUAUGAAAGUUCUUCGAAUGGGAGCCCUUCUCUCAGAUAUCCCAGGAUUAUCUACCAUAAUUGAAACCAGAGAGUUACCAGUGAGUUCUGGGUGAGCAGCGUUCACUCCUACGGUUUGUCUGUAAAGAGUUAGUGUGACGCCUGCUGAACAUGUGGGAGCCUUGAAGUCUAAAGUCAGUCACAGGAAGAUAGGGUGCGAUUGCCCUCUGUCAAGUCACAGAAACAGAAGCAGAAUGAACUGUGGGGGUGGUGCAGAGGACAGAAGGAGGAGCUGCUUUCCUGGGGUUCAGAGUGACAUUUUAGCAGAUGCAGUGAUCUGUGGAGGGGUUGCAGUAGUGGCUGCACACCAGGCAUGACUCGCAGCACCGAGCUGUAAGGAGAAUGAGCUGAGGGUGGCUCACUGGUCCUUGCUGCUGGAGCGGAAGGCCCUGGGAUCGAUCCCCAACACCACAGGAAAUCGAAUGGUAACACUGGUGAAUAUUAGAGAUGCCUGACUGAAAUAAAAUAAAACGAUGCUCAGAUGAACGCAUCAAGCUGCCUGGUGUGGCAGGGAGUGUGGCCAGGGCCGCAGAGCAACCUCAGCUGGGGGAGCUCUGUCUGCACAUUCCAGGACAAGGGCCUGAGUCCUGUCAGGCUGAGGGAGACCUUGCCUGAGAGCCAUGACACACUGACAGCAGUGUCUCUGCACAGCUGCGGCACCAUUUACACCUGCAGCAGGGGUUUGGGCAAGUGGACCCCUGGUUGCCUGAGUGUGACUUAGAGCUUGUGGAGACGGGGUAGCCAUGGGGUGCUCAUCUCUGUGGCACCCACCAAGCCCCUGGACAGUGAGGCUCACUGAAGUCCCCUGUGGGAUGUGUCCUCAGCCUGAGUCACACUGGUGACUGGGAGUCCAACCCUCUGACAUAUCUGACAAACAGCUGUGAGUGUGCAGACACCCUGAGCUCUGCUGUCACUUUGCCUGCUGCUGCUUUUCUUCUGUUAUUUCUCUGCAGUCACUACUGGGAGGACAGCAGCCUUCCUGUCCCUGGGAGCCUUUCCAGGCACUCAUGGCACUCAUGGGGGUCUUGGGGACCACCAUGUCAUGUCUGCAGACAGGAGCAUUGCUGAGUCUUAGUGGAAGCCUGUUAUAUCUGUCCUUGAGACCCAUGGAGACCUGACCUCUGCCUGCAGUCUGUCACCACCCUGGUCACCAGUGGCAGGCCUUGGUGGGUAACACAGGGUAAGUUGUUACUCCUGAACACAGCCUACAUUUUCAUUUUCUUCCUUGCUUCUCCCUUUCUCCCUCCCUCCUUCCUGUCUGUCUUCUUUGCACUUCCUCUUCAAAGCUCUGGUUUGGUUUAACCAGGCUGUCCGUGUUGUAUAGCCCAGGCUGACCUAGGCCUUGCUGUAUAUCCCAGGAAAUCUCCACAUACACGAUCCUCCUGAUUUGGGCUCUUGAGUGCUGAACAUGCAGCCUGUGCCCAUGGACCAGGCU